CUGCGGCAGCGACACUAUGUGUUGUUGGGUAGGGGAGCGUUCUGUAAGCCUGCGAAGGUGGCCUGUGAGGGUUGCUGGAGGUAUCAGAAGUGCGAAUGCUGACAUAAGUAACGAUAAAGCGGGUGAAAAGCCCGCUCGCCGGAAGACCAAGGGUUCCUGUCCAACGUUAAUCGGGGCAGGGUGAGUCGACCCCUAAGGCGAGGCCGAAAGGCGUAGUCGAUGGGAAACGGGUUAAUAUUCCCGUACUUGGUGUUACUGCGAAGGGGGGACGGAGAAGGCUAUGUUGGCCGGGCGACGGUUGUCCCGGUUUAAGCGUGUAGGUGUGUGUUCCAGGUAAAUCCGGUUCACUUUAACACUGAGGCGUGACGACGAGGCACUACGGUGCUGAAGCAACAAAUGCCCUGCUUCCAGGAAAAGCCUCUAAGCAUCAGGUAACAUCAAAUCGUACCCCAAACCGACACAGGUGGUCAGGUAGAGAAUACCAAGGCGCUUGAGAGAACUCGGGUGAAGGAACUAGGCAAAAUGGUGCCGUAACUUCGGGAGAAGGCACGCUGACACGUAGGUGAAGUGAUUUACUCACGGAGCUGAAGUCAGUCGAAGAUACCAGCUGGCUGCAACUGUUUAUUAAAAACACAGCACUGUGCAAACACGAAAGUGGACGUAUACGGUGUGACGCCUGCCCGGUGCCGGAAGGUUAAUUGAUGGGGUCAGCGCAAGCGAAGCUCCUGAUCGAAGCCCCGGUAAACGGCGGCCGUAACUAUAACGGUCCUAAGGUAGCGAAAUUCCUUGUCGGGUAAGUUCCGACCUGCACGAAUGGCGUAAUGAUGGCCAGGCUGUCUCCACCCGAGACUCAGUGAAAUUGAACUCGCUGUGAAGAUGCAGUGUACCCGCGGCAAGACGGAAAGACCCCGUGAACCUUUACUAUAGCUUGACACUGAACAUUGAGCCUUGAUGUGUAGGAUAGGUGGGAGGCUUUGAAGCGUGGACGCCAGUCUGCGUGGAGCCGACCUUGAAAUACCACCCUUUAAUGUUUGAUGUUCUAACGUGGACCCGUGAUCCGGGUUGCGGACAGUGUCUGGUGGGUAGUUUGACUGGGGCGGUCUCCUCCUAAAGAGUAACGGAGGAGCACGAAGGUUGGCUAAUCCUGGUCGGACAUCAGGAGGUUAGUGCAAUGGCAUAAGCCAGCUUGACUGCGAGCGUGACGGCGCGAGCAGGUGCGAAAGCAGGUCAUAGUGAUCCGGUGGUUCUGAAUGGAAGGGCCAUCGCUCAACGGAUAAAAGGUACUCCGGGGAUAACAGGCUGAUACCGCCCAAGAGUUCAUAUCGACGGCGGUGUUUGGCACCUCGAUGUCGGCUCAUCACAUCCUGGGGCUGAAGUAGGUCCCAAGGGUAUGGCUGUUCGCCAUUUAAAGUGGUACGCGAGCUGGGUUUAGAACGUCGUGAGACAGUUCGGUCCCUAUCUGCCGUGGGCGCUGGAGAACUGAGGGGGGCUGCUCCUAGUACGAGAGGACCGGAGUGGACGCAUCACUGGUGUUCGGGUUGUCAUGCCAAUGGCACUGCCCGGUAGCUAAAUGCGGAAGAGAUAAGUGCUGAAAGCAUCUAAGCACGAAACUUGCCCCGAGAUGAGUUCUCCCUGAGACUUUAGGUCUCCUGAAGGAACGUUGAAGACGACGACGUUGAUAGGCCGGGUGUGUAAGCGCAGCGAUGCGUUGAGCUAACCGGUACUAAUGAACCGUGAGGCUUAACCUUACA
rnacentral:rRNA from 1 species